rnacentral:miRNA from 1 species
AUCCGAUAACAGGUGAAGCUGCCGCAUGAUCUGAUCUCUCCCCGAGUCGAUGUUGAUCAAAGGCGAGUUAAGAUCAUGCUGGCAGCUUCAUCUGCUAGUGGU